rnacentral:lncRNA from 1 species
UCCUCUGCCAAUUAGGAGUUAAAUCCCUUUGUUUAUGAACCCCAGUCACACCUCCCUGCAUGUGACUUGCACAGCCUUCCAUAAACACUUCCUGUAAAGAGAGCCCUAUUUACGCUUUCUUUAUUGCAAGUUCUGUUUAAUUAAGAUUUUCUUAUCCCUUGCUAUGUUAAUAGCUUGCUAGACCCUGCAAGAGCCUCCUGUAUGUGAUUAAAGUUCAAUUUAGAGAUUGAGAUACAAUUAUUUAAGGUAAAUUACAUCUGUUUGAAAGUGAAACCAGUUUUUUUCAUGCAGGCUCUGUCAGUCAUAGCCAGGGGAGGUGUGGCUGGUGCUGCAUAAACAGAAACAAAGUGAUUUAACUCCUAAGUGACAGUGAAUUGAGCAGUGAAAUUGCAGGAGAAUGAUCUAUAC